rnacentral:rRNA from 1 species
ACUUGAUUAGUUUGUUGGUGGGGUAAUGGCCUACCAAGACUGUGAUCAAUAGCUGAUUUGAGAGGAUGAUCAGCCACAUUGGGACUGAGACACGGCCCAAACUCCUACGGGAGGCAGCAGUGGGGAAUCUUGCACAAUGGAGGAAACUCUGAUGCAGCGAUGCCGCGUGAGUGAAGAAGGCCUUUGGGUUGUAAAGCUCUUUCGUCGGGGAAGAAAAUGACUGUACCCGAAUAAGAAGGUCCGGCUAACUUCGUGCCAGCAGCCGCGGUAAUACGAAGGGACCUAGCGUAGUUCGGAAUUACUGGGCUUAAAGAGUUCGUAGGUGGUUGAAAAAGUUGGUGGUGAAAUCCCAGAGCUUAACUCUGGAACUGCCAUCAAAACUUUUCAGCUAGAGUAUGAUAGAGGAAAGCAGAAUUUCUAGUGUAGAGGUGAAAUUCGUAGAUAUUAGAAAGAAUACCAAUUGCGAAGGCAGCUUUCUGGAUCAUUACUGACACUGAGGAACGAAAGCAUGGGUAGCGAAGAGGAUUAGAUACCCUCGUAGUCCAUGCCGUAAACGAUGUGUGUUAGACGUUGGAAAUUUAUUUUCAGUGUCGCAGCGAAAGCGAUAAACACACCGCCUGGGGAGUACGACCGCAAGGUUAAAACUCAAAUGAAUUGACGGGGACCCGCACAAGUAGUGGAGCAUGUGGUUUAAUUCGAAGAUACGCGCAGAACCUUACCAACACUUGACAUGUUCGUCGCGACUUUAAGAGAUUAAAGUUUUCGGUUCGGCCGGACGAAACACAGGUGCUGCAUGGCUGUCGUCAGCUCGUGUCGUGAGAUGUUGGGUUAAGUCCCGCAACGAGCGCAACCCUCACUUUUAGUUGCCAUCAUUUAGUUGGGCACUCUGAAAGA